AAAGACAUUUAUAACCCCAUGUUAAAUAAUCUAGAUUUAUGGUUUAGAGUUGAGGGAUGGGGUAGGGUUCUUGGAAUGUGAAAUUUAUGAUUCUAAUAAAUAUAUAAAUAAAUAUUUUAAAAUUACAUUUUAAAAAAAAAGUAGUUUCAAACAUAAUUUUCAAUUUUCAAAAAGAAAUUUUUAAAAAAAAAAUUUGAAAAAAAGAAAAAUUUUGAAAAAAAAAUUCAGAAAUUUUUUCAUAAAAAAAUUGAAUUUGAAAUAGUAUAAUUCGAAGAAAAAAAUAUUCUCUAGGAUAGACCUAAAAAGUUUUAGUCACAAAUAUAGACCUUAAAAAUAAAAAUGACCAUUUGUCAUUAAGUGGCAAAUAUUUUAUCAAAAGAAGUAAAUAUACACUUAUAUCCUUAAGGUUAAUUAAUCUAGACAUUGGGGUUUAGAGUUAAGGGAUGGGGUUUAGGGUUUAAGAUUUAAGGUUUAAGGUUUAGGUUUAGAGUUGAG
rnacentral:lncRNA from 1 species